GAUGAACGCUAGCUACAGGCUUAACACAUGCAAGUCGAGGGGCAGCAGGGAUUUAGCUUGCUAAAUCCGCUGGCGACCGGCGCACGGGUGCGUAACGCGUAUCCAACUUUCCCGUUACUCAGGGAUAGCCUUCCGAAAGGGAGAUUAAUACCCGAUGGUGUUUGAAAUUCGCAUGUUCUUCAAACUAAAGAUUUAUCGGUAACGGAUAGGGAUGCGUGACAUUAGAUAGUAGGCGGGGUAACGGCCCACCUAGUCUACGAUGUCUAGGGGUUCUGAGAGGAAGGUCCCCCACACUGGAACUGAGACACGGUCCAGACUCCUACGGGAGGCAGCAGUGAGGAAUAUUGGUCAAUGGUCGGAAGACUGAACCAGCCAAGUAGCGUGAAGGAUGAAGGUUCUAUGGAUUGUAAACUUCUUUUAUACGGGAAUAAAACCACCUACGUGUAGGUGCUUGUAUGUACCGUAUGAAUAAGCAUCGGCUAACUCCGUG
rnacentral:rRNA from 1 species